AAGUACAACACAUAUAUCGCAUCAGUGUCACGACCAGUGUGACCGCGGACCUAUUAAAUAUACCGACCAAACCUCAGAAACAUACCGAAAUAUACCUUGUCGUAUUUCGAUAGCAGCAGAGUGUGACCAGCUGUUCUACGCUCUGACGUUCUGACGAGGUGGUAGCCUGAGCCGAAGACCCUGGAACCCUGUUGAAAGUUAAUUGAAAAGCCAUGAUCCCAGCUCCUAUUAGAGAUUACGAAUUGUUUAUUUCUUUUGAGAGCAUGAGCAGUCCGAGGCUUUAAAUGUAACUUUCCCGAGUCCUGCGGCCCUCUUGUGAUUUUCCCACUUUAAAUCAGUUAACGCGGGCACCCUCGUGUUGAACCAAGCGGCCUUACCCGUUUUAGUGUUGACGGAUCGAUACUGCAUCCACGAUCGCGUGCAUCGCGCCAGCAGCUGGUACAUUAUUUAUGUACCUGCACUUUUUACGACGUACGACCUCUAUUGGCCGAAACCACCUCUGGCUACGAACUGAUAUGCCGCGAUCCUCUUCUCUUACCCCGUCAGUUCGCUCCAUCAGGUGGCCAGGAAUACGUCUUUCGUGCCCAUCAUCGUUUACCAGGGGCUUUACGCUUUUGUUCUUCCGGUUGAUAUGAGCGAAUGUGCGCUCCUUGACGGCAGUCCACUCCAGGCAACUGACCGGGGCCUGGUCCUGUGCACGGGGCCACGAUGCCGUACGCCCCUCUGGACGCUCGCGAGGCUCUGGCUCUGCUCGCCGUCGUUACAUCCUCCGCGGGUUAUACCGCCGUAGCUUCUGGACUUCUGGGGAUGUCCUAGGAAUGUGCUCCUGGCUUGACUGUGGCAGCCUCUGGCUGUCUUGCUGCGGGCCAUAGCCAUGAUGCCGCUGAGUCGAUAAUAUGGCGUCCUUAUAAGUUUUGAUGAAUAAAAUUAAGAAAAAAAA
rnacentral:sRNA from 1 species